rnacentral:rRNA from 1 species
CACAUGCAAGUCGAACGGUCUGACAACCGGCCUCGGUUGGUUGCCAGAUAGUGGCGGACGGGUGAGUAACGCGUGGAUAACCUGCCCAUCAGACAGGGAUAACACCGGGAAACUGGUGCUAAUACCGGAUACGUACGUAAGGGGGCAUCCCUUUACGUAGAAAGGCGAUGCAAAUCGCUACUGAUGGAUGGGUCCGCGUCCCAUUAGCUAGUUGGCAGGGUAAUGGCCUACCAAGGCGACGAUGGGUAGCCGGCCUGAGAGGGUGGCCGGCCCCACUGGGACUGAGAUACGGCCCAGACUCUUACGGGAGGCAGCAGUGGGGAAUCUUCCGCAAUGGGGGAAAGCCUGACGGAGCAAC